AAAAACCCUAAAAACAGGAAUAAAAGCAAUCUUUUCAUCUGCAUAACGAUUGUCUUGUUUGUUUUUCAAAAAAAAGCUUUUCAUAUCAAAAUCAUUAUGCAGGUUGAUUCGCAAACCCAUUGAACAUAAUGAUCGGACGUCAUCUCCCAAUUUUGAAUUCCCUGUAUUCGAAGCGGAAGAAGAUGAUGUUGAAGGGAUUCCUGACGAGAUUUCCCGACUUCUUGAGCAAGAAAAAAGAAGAUCACACUCAGCUGCAUCUCGAGAAUCAGCAGAACAGCCAACCGGGGCAUUAAAAAAAAAAGAAAAAAAGAAAAGAAAAAAAAGAAAAAAGAAAGAGGAGGGUGCAAAAU
rnacentral:lncRNA from 1 species